rnacentral:rRNA from 1 species
AGAGUUUGAUCCUGGCUCAGGAUGAACGCUGGCGGCGUGCCUAACACAUGCAAGUCGAGCGAACCCUUCGGGGUGAGCGGCGGACGGGUGAGUAACGCGUGGGUAACCUGCCCUGUACACACGGAUAACAUACCGAAAGGUAUGCUAAUACGGGAUAACAUAUGAGAGUCGCAUGGCUUUUGUAUCAAAGCUCCGGCGGUACAGGAUGGACCCGCGUCUGAUUAGCUAGUUGGUAAGGUAACGGCUUACCAAGGCAACGAUCAGUAGCCGACCUGAGAGGGUGAUCGGCCACAUUGGAACUGAGACACGGUCCAAACUCCUACGGGAGGCAGCAGUGGGGAAUAUUGCACAAUGGGCGAAAGCCUGAUGCAGCAACGCCGCGUGAGCGAUGAAGGCCUUCGGGUCGUAAAGCUCUGUCCUCAAGGAAGAUAAUGACGGUACUUGAGGAGGAAGCCCCGGCUAACUACGUGCCAGCAGCCGCGGUAAUACGUAGGGGGCUAGCGUUAUCCGGAAUUACUGGGCGUAAAGGGUGCGUAGGCGGUCUUUCAAGCCAGAAGUGAAAGGCUACGGCUCAACCGUAGUAAGCUUUUGGAACUGUAGGACUUGAGUGCAGGAGAGGAGAGUGGAAUUCCUAGUGUAGCGGUGAAAUGCGUAGAUAUUAGGAGGAACACCAGUAGCGAAGGCGGCUCUCUGGACUGUAACUGACGCUGAGGCACGAAAGCGUGGGGAGCAAACAGGAUUAGAUACCCUGGUAGUCCACGCCGUAAACG